rnacentral:rRNA from 1 species
GUUUUAGCAUGCAAGUCGAGCGGUAAGCCGGAGCAAUCCGGCCUAGAGCGGCGGACGGGUGAGUAACACGUGGAUAAUCUGGCCUACAGUUUGGGAUAGCCUGGUGAAAGCCAGGAUAAUACCGGAUACGACGGUUUGGUCACAAGACCGAAUCGGGAAAGGGGCUAAGGCCUCGCUGAAGGAUGAGUCCGCGUCCCAUUAGCUAGAUGGUGAGGUAAAGGCCCACCAUGGCGAUGAUGGGUAGCCGGCCUAAGAGGGUGAACGGCCACAUUGGGACUGAGAUACGGCCCAGACUCCUACGGGAGGCAGCAGCUAAGAAUCUUCCGCAAUGGUCGAAAGACUGACGGAGCGACGCCGCGUGAAUGAUGAAGGCCGUGAGGUUGUAAAGUUCUUUUCUGGAGGGAGAAUAAGUGGUGUAGGGAAUGACACCAUGAUGACGUGAAUCCAGGAAUAAGCCCCGGCUAACUACGUGCCAGCAGCCGCGGUAACACGUAGGGGGCAAGCGUUGUUCGGAAUUAUUGGGCGUAAAGGGUGCGCAGGCGGCUUGGCAAGUCUGCUGUUAAAUGGUUGAGCUCAACUCAAUCAUGCGGUGGAAACUAUCAAGCUAGAAUCAACGAAGGGAUGCCGGAAUUCCAGGUGUAGGGGUGAAAUCUGUAGAUAUCUGGAAGAACACCAAUGGCGAAGGCAGGCAUCUGGCGACUGAUUGACGCUGAGGCACGAAGGUGCGGGGAGCAAACAGGUUUAGAUAUCCUGGUAGUCCGCACAGUAAACGAUGUGCACUAGGUGGCGGGUAGCAGUACUCGGUACCGAAGCAAACGCAUUAAGUGCACCGCCUGGGGAGUAUGCUCGCAAGGGUGAAACUCAAAGGAAUUGACGGGGGCCCGCACAAGCGGUGGAGCAUGUGGUUUAAUUCGACGAUACGCGAGAAACCUUACCAGGGCUUGACAUAUACUGGAAUAUGGCGGAAACGUCAUAGCUGCUUGCAGUCGGUAUACAGGUGCUGCAUGGCUGUCGUCAGCUCGUGCUGUGAAGUGUUGGGUUAAGUCCCGCAACGAGCGCCACCCCCUGCCUUUAGUACCAUCAUUCAGUGGGGACUCUAAAGAACUGCCGGUGACAACCGGAAGAGGUGGGGGACGACGUCAAGUCAUCAUGGGCCUUACGUUCUGGGCACACACUGCUUCAAUGGCGGGUCGAGGCAGCGAUCGAAGAAGAGCGAUCGCAAGCCGUCAUCGACUGGGUGACGAACCCACUGGAUCUGAUCGUACCUGACAGGGUAGAUUCGGCGUGACUGACGGCACACUCGAGUUG